ensembl:lncRNA
GGAGGGGGCUGGGGGGAUGAGGAUUGGAAUGUGAAGCACAACCCCAGCUUGGCCCUGUACUGGCAUGCCUGAGGAGCCCCUCGGCCCUGUUUCUCAGCUGAAGCCCAGUCCUCUUUCCAACCUUAGAAACAAACUGAAUAAAAUAGGAGGCUUUGCUCCAGAAGGACCAGGAAGAAGUUGACAGAACAGAGCGACCAAACUGAAGGAACCACGCAUCUUCCAUACAGGGAUCAGCUAACCUCUGCAAGCUACCAAGAGGAAUCCAGGGUGCACCGACUGAAUCCAAACUGCAUCUCCUGAGCUAGCAGGGGGAUGGCAGGUGAUACGUGCUCUGCGCUUCUGCCUGAAGAGCUCAGCCAGGAGGUGGCAGCGCCUCUUGUACAGCACGCGGCCUGCAGGAAAAGAAGAGAUGGAGUUCUGGCAGCAGUUGAUAAUACAACGUUGUCACAGGUCAUUUUUAAUAAUUGAAAGAACAAUAAAAACUAUGUGUUUUAAUUCAGGAUUAACUUUAAGCCUGUUGUUUAUACAGAGGACAGUCAGCGUACGACCAUCUUCUAUUUGCUGUAUUAGAGAAGUCUCUAUCCAGCAAGAGGUUCAUGGUUCCUACUGUACAAUGGCAGGGGCAGAGUCCAUUUCAGACUCUAUCAAUACCUCAAAUUACGUCCACAUCCCCAGGAGUCCAGGCUCCUUCCAGGAGCUGACAAAAUGGCAACAACCCCUUGAUGGAAGCGGGACCUACCACGAGCACAGACCUCCUCUCCGGUUUCUACUCCCCUUAACGCCAGCAAGUCCGCUCACUUUAGAACUGGGGGAUUUGCGUUUUACUCUGGGAACACCCAGCAGCCAACUGACACAGCACUGACACUGCUGAACAAAAGUUCAGUGAGAUGGGUCCUAUUUCUAAGAUCCAAAACACCACUGCGCAUCACUGUGCAUGUGUAAAGCACUCCAAGAGCUGUGCUAUCGUAGCACAUUUUCAAAGCAUAUACCUG